rnacentral:rRNA from 1 species
UACGGGAGGGGGUUAGCGUUGUUCGGAAUUACUGGGCGUAAAGCGCGCGUAGGCGGACUAUUAAGUCGAGGGUGAAAUCCCGGGGCUCAACCCCGGAACUGCCUUCGUACUGGUAGUCUUGAGUUCGAGAGAGGUGAGUGGAAUUCCGAGUGUAGAGGUGAAAUUCGUAGAUAUUCGGAGGAACACCAGUGGCGAAGGCGGCUCACUGGCUCGAUACUACGCUGAGGUGCGAAAGCGUGGGGAGCAAACAGGAUUAGAUACCCCGUAGUCC